AAAGAAACUAACAAGGAUUCCCCUAGUAACUGCGAGUGAAGCGGGAAAAGCUCAAAUUUAAAAUCUGGCGGUCUUUGGCUGUCCGAGUUGUAAUCUAGAGAAGUGUUAUCCGCGCUGGACCGUGUACAAGUCUCCUGGAAUGGAGCGUCAUAGAGGGUGAGAAUCCCGUCUUUGACACGGACUGCCAGGGCUUUGUGAUGCGCUCUCAAAGAGUCGAGUUGUUUGGGAAUGCAGCUCAAAAUGGGUGGUAAAUUCCAUCUAAAGCUAAAUAUUGGCGAGAGACCGAUAGCGAACAAGUACCGUGAGGGAAAGAUGAAAAGAACUUUGGAAAGAGAGUUAAACAGUACGUGAAAUUGCUGAAAGGGAAACGCUUGAAGUCAGUCGCGUUGUCCAGGGAUCAACCUUGCUUUUGCUUGGUGCACUUUCUGGUUGACGGGUCAGCAUCAAUUUUGACCAUUGGAAAAAGAUUAGGGGAAUGUGGCAUCUUUGGAUGUGUUAUAGCCCUUGGUUGCAUACAAUGGUUGGGAUUGAGGAACUCAGCACGCCUUAAAGGUCGGGUUUUUAACCACGUACGUGCUUAGGAUGCUGGCAUAAUGGCUUUAAUCGACCCGUCUUGAAACACGGACCAAGGAGUCUAACAUGUCUGCGAGUGUUUGGGUGGAAAACUCGAGCGCGUAAUGAAAGUGAAAGUUGAGAUCCCUGUCGUGGGGAGCAUCGACGCCCGGACCAGACCUUUUGUGACGGUUCCGCGGUAGAGCAUGCAUGUUGGGACCCGAAAGAUGGUGAACUAUGCCUGAAUAGGGUGAAGCCAGAGGAAACUCUGGUGGAGGCUCGUAGCGAUUCUGACGUGCAAAUCGAUCGUCAAAUUUGGGUAUAGGGGCGAAAGACUAAUCGAACCAUCUAGUAGCUGGUUCCUGCCGAAGUUUCCCUCAGGA
rnacentral:rRNA from 2 species